GACAGGGUCUCACUAUGUAGCUCUGGCUGUCCUGAACUCAACUCACUUAUGUAGACCAGGCUGGUCUUGAACUCAGAGAUACACCUGCCUCUGCCUCCCAAGUGCUGGGACUAAAGGGCCUUGCAAUUAUUCUUAACACUGAGGCAUUCCCCCUGUCUGAGAUGCAGACUCCUUUGUUUGUCUGUCUUCUCUGGACUUGUCUUUCCUCAUUUAAACUGUUAAAAAGGGUCAGAGGGCGGGGCAUGGGCACGCCUGUCGUGCCAGCAUUUGGCCAACCUGAGCUGCACAGUAUGACCCCCAUCUCAAAAGAUAAAAGACGGGGACCAGCAGAAGAAAUGGAAACUGUGACGGCUGUUACUUAUGAGUCCCUCUUCUGCUGUUAGCUUCCUACAUCAAUGCCCAGCUUAUGCAGGUAGCAAGUCCCUUCAUAGCUUCAUAAGAAGCCAUGCUUGCUCAGCCUGAUCUGCACACGGAAAUAUAGGUACUGAGCUUCCAUGGCCACUUAAACAGAAGAAGAACAAACAAGGUGAAAGCUGUGGAAAUCCUGACAUCUCCUGGCUGUGCUGGUCCAGACUGUGAAGCCUGAAGUGUAUUUCUGGGAAGGCUAUGCAUUUGCACGUUUACGGUUUCAGAGGUUAGCUACGCCGUGUGACUGAAGAUGCCAGGAGUCGGGGUAAUCUGUGAUCACAUGCCAAAGCUGGAACUCGUCCAGCCUCAGUAGGAUAAGCAACCUCAACACAGAGCCUGUGAUAGCCUGGAGUUGUGCUAAGUACUUUACAUAAAUUGUUCUGUUUACUUCUCUCAGCAAUUUGGUAAAAUAGGCAUUAUAAUAAGACUGAUUUUCUAUACAAGGAAAUUAGAAUCAGAAGGCUGGUUUGUGUCCAAGGGAGGCUAAGAGCCUCUGUUCAACUAAUGCUAAAUAAACAACUAUUUAUUUAUUUA